AACGCAUAUUGCGCCCAUUAGUAUUCUAUUGGGCAUGCCUGUUCGAGCGUCAUUUCAACCCUCAAGCCCGUUUGGUGCUUGGUGUUGGGGUAUUCUAUAGAGGGGUUUCCCCUCAAAUAGGCCCUGAAAAUCAGUGGCAGGUCCGCCGAGACUCCGAACGUAGUAGCUUGUUUUCUCGUUCAGGGCGUCUAGGCGGAGCUUCUCGCCGUUAAACCCCAUUAUAUUUUUACAAGGUUGACCUCGAAUCAGGUAGGAAUACCCGCUGAACUUAA
rnacentral:misc_RNA from 1 species